AGAUGCAGGACAUUAUUACUGUCAGAGUUACCACUGGAUUGACAGUAAAGGUUUAUUCACACAGUGAUAAAGAGUUGUACAAAAACCAUAGUGACUGCACUGAUACACUGACAGAUACUGCAGCUGCUCUCUCUCUCACACACACACACACACACACAUCAGUGGAGACAUUAACAUUAUUAUAAAACUGAACUUAGUGUUUCAGUCACAACGAGUGCUGCUUUAAGACUAGAGGAUGCUGAGGAAUGUAAAAAAGUGGGGGCUCGUCUGGGAUCAAUCAGACUUGGAUUGGCUGGAGCAACUGUAAAGAAAGGGACACACAUAAGAAAAAAAUCCACAGUAACAUAUGCCUUGAGGGCGUAACACCAAUCCUGCGUGGAUACAGGAGUCAUUUUUGUCAUAAUGAUGUUUCUGUCAUUCAUACACAGCUCAAACAUCAUUAACAGAAAAGCUGAAGAUUCAGACAAACUAAUCAACAAUUUUCAACAUGUCAGAUGCACACUGUUCAAUCUGGACUCAUUUGACUUUGUUUAGUUGACAAAAGUUGAAACACUAAAACAGAGAGACUGAGGAAUAUUUUUAAGGAAGAAUGCAUGAAAAAUUCUCAGUUACAUAUUGUCUGAUCUGCAAUACGCUUGGUUUUUGGAGGUAAUUUAGCGAGUUUAAUGUCACAUGAUCAUAAUGUAUAUUAGACUGACAGCAUAUAAGCUUUUAGAGACUGUUUGCAUUAUUUUGCAUAUUCAGCACAUGCUUCAGUGAUCUGAGAGUGUUUAUAGUGCUGUGAGUUUAACACUUCAUCACUGAGAACUUUUCUUCAUAAUAACUGAACAAACAACAACAAGAAUGAAUUUCAUCAGCGUCUGUAUCUGGACACUCGUUCUGACUGUUCAAGAAAUUACAGGACACAUUUCUGUGACUCAGACUCCAACAGUAACAACUGUUCAACCAGGAGAAUCCAUCACUAUAAACUGUAAAACUAGCAGAGGAAUCGGAGAUCGUUCAUGGGGCUGUGGUAGCUGUCUCGCCUGGUAUCAUCAGAAACCUGGAGAAGCUCCUAAACUCCUCAUUUACUACAUUAGAUCACUGCAGUCUGGAACUCCAUCAAGAUUCAGUGGCAGUGGAUCUGAUUAUGGAACUGAUUUCACUCUGACCAUCAGUGGAGUCCAGACUGAAGAUGCAGGACAUUAUUACUGUAAGAGUGAACACUACAUCAGUAGCAGCUGGUUGUUCACACAGUGAUAAAGAGUCAUACAAAAACCUCUGUCAGUCACACUGCACUGAUACACUGACAGAUACUGCAGCUGCUCACACACACACACACACAAACACACACACACACACA